GACGAACGCUGGCGGCGUGCUUAACACAUGCAAGUCGAACGGAAAGGCCCUGCUUUUGUGGGGUGCUCGAGUGGCGAACGGGUGAGUAAAACGUGAGUAACCUGCCCUUGUUUUUGGGAUAACUUCAGGAAACUGGGGCUAAUACCGGAUAGGAGAUCCUGCUGCAUGGUGGGGGUUGGAAAGUUUCGGCGGUUGGGGAUGGACUCGCGGCUUAUCAGCUUGGUGGUGGGGUAGUGGUAUACCAAGGCUUUGACGGGUAGCCGGCAUGGGAGGGUGACCGGGGACAUUGGGACUGAGGGACGGACCAGACGCCAACGGUAGGCAACGGGGGGGAAUAUUACACAAUGAGCGGAAGCCUGAGGCGGCGGCGCCGGGUGCGUGAUGACGGCUUUCGGGGUGUGAACCGCUUUCGCCGGAGACGAAGCGUGAGUGACGGUAAUGGAUAAAGAAGCACCGGCUAACUACGUG
rnacentral:rRNA from 1 species